UUGCCAUGGGGAUUGAAGGUGCUGCUGUAGCCUCGGUGUUAGCCCGUUUAGCUGUGUUUGUUGUGGCUGCCAGAGG
rnacentral:tRNA from 1 species